GAAGAGAGAGUUCAAGAAGUACGUGAAACCGUGUGGGAGUAAACGGGUGGUUCCCGAAAGUACGAAAGGGGAGAUUCAGGUCUCGCCNCGNGUCGGGCGGCGCCCGCGAACGAGAUGGGGUCCACGCGGCCGGGGGGCGACCCCCGGUCUCGCGGNGGNUNCACUCCGCGGGCGUCUUCUUUCCCGGCGCCGGAGCGACGCACUUCUCCCCCCUGUAGAACGUCGCGACCCGUCGGUCGCCGGCCUAAGGCCCCGGGAGGAGCCUCGCGCGCGUCCCUCGGGACGCGUUUGCGAGACCCCGGGGAUCCCGGCCGGGUGCCCGACGGAAGGAAGAGAGGAAGGAGUAGACGCGCCGACCUAUUGCUCGGCGUCCGGCCCUC
rnacentral:rRNA from 1 species